UACGUAGGGGGCAAGCAUUGUCCGGAAUCAUUGGGCGUAAAGAGCGUGUAGGCGGCCAGAUAAGUCCGCUGUGAAAUCUCGAGGCUCAACUUCGAGCUGUCGGUGGAAACUGUCUGGCUAGAGUCCGGAAGAGGAGAAUGGAAUUCCUGGUGUAGCGGUGAAAUGCGCAGAUAUCAGGAAGAACACCCGUGGCGAAGGCGGUUCUCUGGGACGGUACUGACGCUGAGACGCGAAAGCGUGGGGAGCGAACAGG
rnacentral:rRNA from 1 species